rnacentral:rRNA from 1 species
AACGAACGCUGGCGGCAGGCCUAACACAUGCAAGUCGAACGCCCGUAGCAAUACGGGAGUGGCAGACGGGUGAGUAACGCGUGGGAACGUGCCCUUCGGUUCGGAAUAACUCAGGGAAACUUGAGCUAAUACCGGAUACGUCCGUAAGGAGAAAGAUUUAUCGCCGAAGGAUCGGCCCGCGUCGGAUUAGCUAGUUGGUGAGGUAAUGGCUCACCAAGGCGACGAUCCGUAGCUGGCUGAGAGGAUGAUCAGCCACACUGGGACUGAGACACGGCCCAGACUCCUACGGGAGGCAGCAGUGGGGAAUAUUGGACAAUGGGCGAAAGCCUGAUCCAGCCAUGCCGCGUGAGUGAAGAAGGCCUUAGGGUUGUAAAGCUCUUUCAGCGGGGAAGAUAAUGACGGUACCCGCAGAAGAAGCCCCGGCUAACUUCGUGCCAGCA